rnacentral:misc_RNA from 1 species
CAGAGGUUACUGCAAUAAGGGAGGCAUGUAAAAAACUUGGUAAGAUUGAGCUUUCUGACUGUGAAUUGUAUGCCUCUUGUGAGCCAUGCCCAAUGUGCUUCGGUGCUGUCCACCUUUCAAGAAUUAAGAGGUUGGUUNNNNNNNNNNNNGGCUGAAGCAGCUAUUGCCAUUGGCUUUGAUGAUUUUAUUGCGGAUGCAUUGCGAGGUACUGCCCACUAUCAAAAGGCUAAUUUGGAGAUUAUAAGGGCAGAUGGUAAUGGGGCCAUUAUUGCCGAACAGGUCUUUGAGAAAACAAAGGAAAAAUUUCGGAUGUAUUGAUCUUUUUAGUCACCUCUUUCAUUGGACGGUACUGACUUUGCUUCCAUUCUGAACUGUAAGCAUCUUUUUAAUGCGAUCAUUUAAUAAUGACCUGCACUUUAUCCAA